ACGAACGCUUGCGGCGUGCUUAACCCCUGCCAGUCGCACGGAAAGGCCCUGCUUUUGUGGGGUGCUCGAGUGGCGAACGGGUGAGUAACACGUGAGUAACCUGCCCUUGACUUUGGGAUAACUUCAGGAAACUGGGGCUAAUACCGGAUAGGAGCUCCUGCUGCAUGGUGGGGGUUGGAAAGUUUCGGCGGUUGGGGAUGGACUCGCGGCUUAUCAGCUUGUUGGUGGGGUAGUGGCUUACCAAGGCUUUGACGGGUAGCCGGCCUGAGAGAGUGACCGGCCACAUUGGGACUGAGAUACGGCCCAGACUCCUACGGGAGGCAGCAGUGGGGAAUAUUGCACAAUGGGCGGAAGCCUGAUGCAGCAACGCCGCGUGCGGGAUGACGGCCUUCGGGUUGUAAACCGCUUUCGCCUGUGACGAAGCGUGAGUGACGGUAAUGGGUAAAGAAGCACCGGCUAACUACGUG
rnacentral:rRNA from 1 species